UUCGCAGUUCGCACGACGCACGUUGUUGUUUGUUCCUUUGCAAAGUAUAAAUCGAGAAGUAUUUUGAAUGUAUAUUAAAUUUUACUGGACAUUAUGAUACAAGAUUGCCUGGAGAAGAUCGAGGAUAUUGUUUUAAAAGUGACUGGGAAUCUCAGUCAUCUCAGAGGUAAGGUUUUAAAAUUAUACGCGCAAACAGACGAAAGCUAUAUAUUUUGAAUUUCGAAUUUGCCGCGUAAACAGUGUACGUAUUUAACAGAAAUAUUCACAGUUUUGCUACUCAUUCCCACCAAAAAAAAUGAAUGAUUUAUAGAAAUAUGUUAUGCCGUGGUUAUACUAUAGGUACUAUGCCAUAUUAAGUGUGAUAUUGAUGUAAUGAUGUUGGCUAAACCAUGGUCAAAUACAUGAAUUUAUGUUAUAUAUUAAAAUAUGAACAUGAAACUGAUUGAAACAUCUGCCAUAACAGACUUACUCAAUCUUAGGAUUAUGAUGUACGGAAUCUUAGGAUCUACAUUAAUUUUGAUUAAGAAUUUGAAUGACAUAGCUGUUAUAUUGCCUUUUAAAUAAUUUUUAUAUGCAUCCUUUAUUAGAUGGUGGAUUAACAAGUGCCAAGUGGUGAUGUUUAUAAGUCUAAGUCAUCUAAGUCUGUAAUGAACGAGCAGGAAAGUAUGGUGCCAAGGUCUUUCAUUUGAUGAAAAAUAUCAACUUGAUAUUAGUUCAGUGAAACAAGAAAAGAAGCCAUUUGACUUGGUUUAAGGAAAUAAGGAACAUGGAUUAAUUGAGGUAGUACUAGUGUGCGAGAAACUCAGUGGAUGAGUGGAAAGUCUCCUCUGUUAAUGGUUAAUUGGAUUCACAGUGUUGCAGAACUUAAUUUUCCAGGACAAAAAUACUCCAGGUGAUCUUAUAAAUAUGCUCAUAUUUGGGAGGACAUAUACCAACUUUACAAACAACUAGUCAGUAAUCAAAGAGGAACAUUGCUCAGGAGUUAAUUACUUUAGCUUACGGUAUGUGUUAAUAACAAUAAUUGAAGACAUGCAGUGAGUUUGCAUAGUUCUAGAUGCACUUGUCUUCUUUCAUAAAUAUUUUUAUUCAAUUACCUCUGGGUUCAUUAUACAGGGGCUUAAUUUCAAUAAUUUGAGUUGUUUCAGCUAGUUUCCUAAACUUGCCAAUUGGCAAUUUUUAAUUAAGUCCUUGAAAUACUUGUUUUUUUGAGCAAGGUAUGCACAAACCUAGCAGUACUUUGAACUAUUUCUACAUGUAAAUAUUUAGAAUUUAUUCAUUCAUUCAUAUGGGCACUAAGUAAAUAGUUUUAAUAUUUUGGACUGAUAAGGAAUAAGAAUAAUGUAUAAUUUUGCCUAUGUGAUAUUUCAAAGCCUACUAAUAACUUAAUUUCAUUGCUAGAAAUGAAAGAAAUGUAUAAGUAGGUUAGAGGGCAUAUUUGUCCAUUCAAUUUUGUAAUUUUUUAUGCUUUAUUAUGUUCCUGCUUAUUGUGCUCAUAGGUUUUUAAACAAAUACAUAAUUUAUUUAUCUUUAAUAAAAUUGUUUGUUCAAUAUAGAAGUUCACGUCUGUUCAUCAUGUAACGAUCAUUACAUCAGUGAAUGCAGUGGUUAUCAAAUACACCUUAUGGUGUAUAUUGACCCCAUAAAGUAUAAAUAUACACUU
rnacentral:lncRNA from 1 species